rnacentral:rRNA from 1 species
AUUGAACGCUGGCGGCAGGCCUAACACAUGCAAGUCGAACGAGUGGCGGACGGGUGAGUAAUGUCUGGGAAACUGCCUGAUGGAGGGGGAUAACUACUGGAAACGGUAGCUAAUACCGCAUACCAUCGGAUUAGACAAGAUGGGCUGGGCUGGUAGGUUGGGUAAAGGCUCACCUAGGCCACGAUCCCUAGCUGGUCUGCGAGGGUGACCAGCAACACUGGAACUGAGACACGGUCCAGACUCCUACGGGAGGCAGCAGUGGGGAAUAUUGCACAAUGGGCGAAAGCCUGAUGCAGCCAUGCCGCGUGUAUGAAGAAGGCCUUCGGGUUGUAAAGUACUUUCAGCGGGGAGGCGUUACCCGCAGAAGAAGCACCGGCUAACUCCGUGCCAGCAGCCGCGGUAAUAC